GGCACCUCCCCGGCGUGCGGCCGCGCGGGGCGAGCCCAGCCCGCUGCUGCAGGAAUGCGGGCGGCAGCGGUGGGGCUGAGCGGGCUCUUCCCGGCGCGGUCCAGGUGAACCUUGUUUUGGCAGCAUCUCCGGGCGCUCUGGGGCGCCUGCUGCUUCUCAGUGUUCUUCUUUUCCCGGACAGGACUGUGUGGCAGCAGAGACUCGGGGCUACUCGGGAGAAGCUGAUGCCCCAAGGGAGAAGGCUUUGGCCGCCAGUCGCAACCUGCUUCGCUGCGGAGCGGGAGCUCCCAUCGGAUGAACUGGAAGUCGAGCAGUAGCCAUGUACCAGGCCCACCACCUCACCCGCUUCAACCACCAGGCUGGGGUUCCCAGCUGGGCACCAACGCCGACCUGGCAAAUUUCUAAAUUGCCUUGAGUUUAGAGACUAAAGUGCAAACUUAGCCGAAUUUUUCAGUUUUUCCUUCUUUAAAAUUAACAUAAUCAUGACUGGGAAUGUGAGAUAUAUGGAAAGUCAUUCAAAGCCUUUUAAUUUACCAAUGCAACUUAAGGAUAACGAUGACUUUGAUUACUUAACAAAAAAUCACGGGUUGCAGAUAUAUUGCAUUUUGUGUAUAUGAAGAAUAUAUUCACCACUCAGGCAUGGCGCUUAUUUUGUGGUUGCAGUGUGGAGACAUCCUGGCCAUCUACUAACCUACUUUCCCCUCUAUUUGAGAAUGACAGGAAUAGAUUACUAAUGUUGGAUUGCAGCUCUGCACAACUCACAUAUUACUAAUUCUGUCUCUUCCUUUUAAAGUGACAUCUGUCAAAUUAUCUAAGAUCUUCACCUCCCACAAGUAUACAGCAUAGCUGCAAAUUUCCUUGCAAUUUGAGAGAAGUGAUCUGAUAUUUCAACAAGGACUUGCUUCUAAGGACUUGAUCCUAAAGACUUCUCUGACUUUACCUAAGCAAGUUACAUCAGGAAAUUUCCAGUACUGGGGCAUGAAGUAAAAUAGUGCUAGUUCACUCUGACUGCAAUAUUAAUACUUAGCAGCUGGCAUAGAAUAUUCUUGCCAGGUUAAAACUAAAAAGUAUUCGUAAUUCCACAAUCCAUAUGAUAGCAUAAGUGAACAUGCACCUCGUUUCCUGUUGAAUAUAUCCUGCUGCAGCAUGCUGCUUUUAAAAUCUGCCAAGUAAAAAGUAGUAAGUGAAAGAAAUUGUCUCUUUGUUUAUAGCCCUUUGCAUCCACUUAAUACUAACCCCUGCUAUCCUUACAAAACCAUACAUAAGCAAGCAUUCUUUCUGCCAGUUUUGCUUAGAAACUGUUGCCUACAAAUCAUUCCACUGACAUAGUUGAGACUUCUUGUUUAAAUAAAUCAUUACUUGCUUUGAUUAGAGGAACGGGACACAAUGAAGAAGAUCCCAUUUAUUACUUCUAUCAGACAUGCAGUUUAACUAUUGUAAAAACGCUGAAGUGUCUUUUUUUUGUCUAUUUUCAAACAUUAACACUAUGAAAAAUAAUCAGAUCUUUGCCAUCUCAUAAUGUGACAACACCUCAUUGAGGGACCAGGAGUAAGUGGGCAUGUACUGCAGAACUUCCCAGCAGAGCACACAGUAGCUGCUGAAAAAUAUGGGUUGAGUCUGCAUUUUGUAGCAUAGCAGAGCUGUAUCUCUUGGUUUCAUGAGCUGUUGAUGUAGAGACUGAAAGCAGAGUGUGAACUAUAUAGGUCAUCUCCAGAUGAGACAAACCUAUAUAACUUCAAGAAUACAUGGAGCUGGGUAUAUUUCCCAUCUUUAGUUUACAGAAAACCUACUUUCUUCUUAGUGAGUUAGACCUGACACUGAUUUUAAUGUACCCCUUUAUUUGUAAAGCCACAUUGCUUCAGUGUUACCAAUUUAAUAGUACCAUGGCAGGAGAGAACACCUUCGUUAGUACCUUUCAGAAAUUUCAAAUUUCAAAAUACUUAUCAAAUAACAUUGUAAAUGUACAUAAUGCUUUUCCUUGAAUUUCCUGUCUUUAUUUUGCAAUAAAACUUUAUGAUCCA